rnacentral:rRNA from 1 species
GACGAACGCUGGCGGCGUGCCUAAUACAUGCAAGUAGAACGCACAGUUUAUACCGUAGCUUGCUACACCAUAGACUGUGAGUUGCGAACGGGUGAGUAACGCGUAGGUAACCUGCCUGGUAGCGGGGGAUAACUAUUGGAAACGAUAGCUAAUACCGCAUAAUAUUAAUUAUUGCAUGAUAAUUAAUUGAAAGGUGCAAUUGCACCACUACCAGAUGGACCUGCGUUGUAUUAGCUAGUAGGUGAGGUAACGGCUCACCUAGGCGACGAUACAUAGCCGACCUGAGAGGGUGAUCGGCCACACUGGGACUGAGACACGGCCCAGACUCCUACGGGAGGCAGCAGUAGGGAAUCUUCGGCAAUGGACGAAAGUCUGACCGAGCAACGCCGCGUGAGUGAAGAAGGUUUUCGGAUCGUAAAGCUCUGUUGUAAGAGAAGAACGGGUGUGAGAGUGGAAAGUUCACACUGUGACGGUAGCUGACCAGAAAGGGACGGCUAACUACGUG